rnacentral:misc_RNA from 1 species
GAAUCCAAUGCAGGAAGCUCAUCCUUCCAGCGUCUUGGGCCAGCAUGUCGUCGACUCGCUCGACGUGGCCUCGAAUCGAUAGGUCUCGUGUAGAACGGACGAGCUCCUUUGGGACAACGGACCGUUCGAGGGGACCACUGUAACCGGGCCUUCUCUGGCCUCUGA